rnacentral:rRNA from 1 species
ACGUGUAGCAGUGAAAUGCGUAGAUAUGCGGAGGAACACCGAUGGCGAAGGCAGCCCCCUGGGAUAAUACUGACGCUCAUGCACGAAAGCGUGGGGAGCAAACAGGAUUAGAUACCCUGGUAGUCCACGCCCUAAACGAUGUCAACUAGCUGUUGGGGCCUUCGGGCCUUAGUAGCGCAGCUAACGCGUGAAGUUGACCGCCUGGGGAGUACGGUCGCAAGAUUAAAACUCAAAGGAAUUGACGGGGACCCGCACAAGCGGUGGAUGAUGUGGAUUAAUUCGAUGCAACGCGAAAAACCUUACCUACCCUUGACAUGUCUGGAAUCCCGAAGAGAUUUGGGAGUGCUCGCAAGAGAACUGGAACACAGGUGCUGCAUGGCUGUCGUCAGCU